rnacentral:rRNA from 1 species
GUCUACGGCCAUGCCACCCUGAACACACCCAAUCCCAUCUGAUCUUGGAAGCUAAACAGGGUUGCAGUGGUUAGUACUUGGAUGGGAGACCACCUAGAAAGACCAGGUGCUGUAGGUG